CAUGCAAGUCGAGCGAACAGACGAGGAGCUUGCUCCUYUGACGUUAGCGGYGGACGGGUGAGUAACACGUGGAUAACCUACCUAUAAGACUGGGAUAACUUCGGGAAACCGGAGCUAAUACCGGAUAAYAUGUUGAACCGCAUGGUUCAAYAGUGAAAGACGGUYUUGCUGUCACUUAUAGAUGGAUCCGCGCCGCAUUAGCUAGUUGGUAAGGUAACGGCUUACCAAGGCAACGAUGCGUAGCCGACCUGAGAGGGUGAUCGGCCACACUGGAACUGAGACACGGUCCAGACUCCUACGGGAGGCAGCAGUGGGGAAUCUUCCGCAAUGGGCGAAAGCCUGACGGAGCAACGCCGCGUGAGUGAWGAAGGUCUUCGGAUCGUAAAACUCUGUUAUUAGGGAAGAACAAAUGUGUAAGUAACUAUGCACGUCUUGACGGUACCUAAUCAGAAAGCCACGGCUAACUACGUGCCAGCAGCCGCGGUAAUACGUAGGUGGCAAGCGUUAUCCGGAAUUAUUGGGCGUAAAGCGCGCGUAGGUGGUUUUUUAAGUCUGAUGUGAAAGCCCACGGCUCAACCGUGGAGGGUCAUUGGAAACUGGAAAACUUGAGUGCAGAAGAGGAAAGUGGAAUUCCAUGUGUAGCGGUGAAAUGCGCAGAGAUAUGGAGGAACACCAGUGGCGAAGGCGACUUUCUGGUCUGUAACUGACGCUGAUGUGCGAAAGCGUGGGGAUCAAACAGGAUUAGAYACCCUGGUAGUCCACGCCGUAAACGAUGAGUGCUAAGUGUUAGGGGGU
rnacentral:rRNA from 1 species